rnacentral:rRNA from 1 species
UACAGAGGUCUCAAGCGUUGUUCGGAUUCAUUGGGCGUAAAGGGUGCGUAGGCGGCGCGGUAAGUCGGUGUGUGAAAUCUCGGAGCUUAACUCCGAAACUGCAUUCGAUACUGCCGUGCUUGAGGACUGGAGAGGAGACUGGAAUUUACGGCGUAGCGGUGAAAUGCGUAGAUAUCGUAAGGAAGACCAGUGGCGAAGGCGGGUCUCUGGACAGUUCCUGACGCUGAGGCACGAAGGUCAGGGGAGCAAACGGG